AACAUGUCGAAUGUUAAUUGUUAUCAUCGUAGUUGGGGGGUAGGGCUAUUUAUACUAUUUUAAUACGUAACUGAAGUCAUUUUUUAAAGCAAAUAAAUAGGUUGUGUUUGCUAUUAGUAGGGCCUACAUUGAAAAUAAAAUAGGAUUGGACAAACAUGACAAUCUGACAAUGAUUGAGUAUUUUGGGGGUAAGAUAACCAUAUUUGGCCAUCACUUGUCACCCUUUACAGUCAGAACAUAUGAAACUGGUCUUAAAAUUUGGAAUUGUGUUCUCAGUAAAUACUUCAAUAUUUUCCCUGCUAAGUUUUAAGACUGAUUUUACUUUCUGAUGGCUGAUAGGUCACUGAAGGGAAAAAUUAGUGAUGGCCAGAUCUGGGAAUCUUUCACUUAUUUGUUUCACACCGGCUAUCGUUACAGCAGCUGUAACGUAAUUGUCAACCUCUGUUGUUAGUCUUUAUAGCAUUGUCUGGUUCUUGUAAUACUCAAUGUUGGGAUCCAUGGCUGUAAGAGCCAGACUAUAGACAGGUUGGUUUUCGGACAUUCUGUAUUUUUCUUUGAAGAGCCACGGACAUGAGGGAUAUCGAUUACGAAGGGAAAAUAAUUAAUUCUACUUCUACAAGAAGUAUGAUUUGAUUACAAACAUACUUUUAACUGAAACUUUCGGAUCUCUAUUAUUUAAAUCCAAUCAGCCAUUUCAUUGCCAAAUAUUUCAUCUGUCUCGUUCUCAUUUCAACAGAUUCUGCAAUGUAUCAAAAAUAAAGCGAGCAAAACUGAGGAUGGAAAAGAGCUCAACUAGUGAAGGAGGUGAUGGCGCAGGAGAUGUGGUAAUCCCCCGCAAGAGAAGACGCACAGGAGAGAAAGAGCAAAGGACCAGGCAUGCUCUACCAGUGGAGUGCAUCAUAUGCAAGAAGAGCAAAUGGAUCCAGCCGCCAUAUGGACCGCGGAAAAAAGAGCCACUCACAAAGUGCGAAUAUGAAAAAGGUGGACAACUUCUCAAGGCUGCUGAACUACUCAAUGAUGAAUCCAUCCUUCUUGAUAUUUAAGGUCAAGACAUGGUGGCAAUCGAAGUCCGGUAUCACAGAUCAUGCCACAAGAAUUACAUCAAGGCGACUUGCCGUGUACAGACUUGUGUCGUUGCAGUGAUUGUGAGAACACCACUACUGAAGACAUCGAAUGCCUGUCCAGCGAUGACGAAGAAAGUGACAUUGAAGACGAUGAAUAGACACAGGGACUUAUCGUAGUACGGAAAAGUUUACAUACCAGUAUUCAUCAUCAGCCAUAUUUAUGUGUUUGCUCAUUCUACAUGUACUUGUAAAUAUGCAUAGCUUUUUUUUGGCAUGGUGUAGACAGCAGAAACGUGAUUUGCCAUCAUGUCUUUCAGGAAGAAUAUUUCUUUGGUUUGUUUUUUACAGCAAAUUUCCAGUUUCCAACAGUAUAUUUUUAGGCUUAUGACAAUUCCUCAUCUACAAAUAGUUCUUCCAGCUCCACCUUCUGUCGACCCAAGUUGAUGCUUGAGACGAGCGCAACAGCUCCACACUUAAGUGAAAAACUCAAUAUAUGUAAUGCCUUGACAAUCCAUUCUUGCAUAAUUGCAUACUUUAUUACAAUAAUUAUGACAUAUAUGUAUUUGGAAUUAUGGAAGUUCCAGGUCUAGACAGUUAAUUUUUGUGUUAAUGGCAAAUUCAGGGAUACCUUGAAGAAUUUUUUUUAAGAAGAACAUAUUAAGUAUUGCCAAAGAUUUAUUUGUUGCUUAUUUAUUAAUUAAUUACCACAAAAUAAAACCUUUCCAAUUAGGUCAUUGUUGGAACCAAAUACUCUAUUUUAGGUAAAUGACAUAAUUUGGUAAUCUGCAAAUAAGUCUUUGAACUUCAUAUGGUAUGGAAAACUCGGUGAUAUCUUGAAACAAAAAAAAUUGGGUGGUACAAAGUGUUGACUGUGGUCAACUUAGUGUUACUUUUUGAUAGUUUGAGAAUUAAUUACCAUUUAUUGCUUGCAUCAAGGACUUUAUUUUAGGUAAAUGAAAUAAGUCAGUCUUCUCCAAAUAGUUUUUCCUUCCAUAAACAUUUAAGAUUAAAACUUAGUGCUGUUAUAAUCCAAUUUGUUGCAAAAUUGCACAAUUAAUUACCAUAAUUAUGUAAUUAUGUUAAAUUUGGAGACAGCUCAUUUUGGAUUAAUGACAUAAAUGUACAUGUAAUUCAAUACUUUCAGCCUCACAUGCAAAAUUUCAGUGAUACCUUGAACAAACUAUUUAUUGGCAUAAAAAACACUGAAUAUGGCCAAAGCGUUAUUUUGUGCAUAAUUUCAUAUUGAAUGAUCACAACAAUAAAACCAUUAAUAUGAUAUUUUUCCUUGGCAUCAAUAUAACAACUGUUUAAGGUUAGUUAUAUAAUGCAGUCGUAUACAAUUACAGAAAAGGUCAGUCAUGCCUUAUAUGGAAAAGUCAGUUACAUGUAUGCCUUCUGUGCCAAUUGCAAUAAAACAUAUAUGAGCAUA